AUUGAACGCUGGCGGCAUGCCUUACACAUGCAAGUCGAACGGCAGCACGGGAGCAAUCCUGGUGGCGAGUGGCGAACGGGUGAGUAAUAUAUCGGAACGUGCCCAGUAGUGGGGGAUAGCCCGGCGAAAGCCGGAUUAAUACCGCAUACGACCUGAGGGUGAAAGCGGGGGAUCGCAAGACCUCGCGCUAUUGGAGCGGCCGAUAUCAGAUUAGCUAGUUGGUGGGGUAAAGGCCUACCAAGGCUACGAUCUGUAGUUGGUCUGAGAGGACGACCAGCCACACUGGGACUGAGACACGGCCCAGACCCCUACGGGAGGCAGCAGUGGGGAAUUUUGGACAAUGGGCGCAAGCCUGAUCCAGCAAUGCCGCGUGCAGGAAGAAGGCCUUCGGUUGUAACUAGCUUUGUUCUAGGAAGAAAGUACUUCUGGUCGUAAUACCCCGGGACGGGACGUGACGGUACCGUGAAGAAUAAGACACCGGCUAACUAACGUAGCCAGCAGCCGAC
rnacentral:rRNA from 1 species